AACGAACGCUGGCGGCAGGCCUAACACAUGCAAGUCGAGCGCGCCCUUCGGGGUGAGCGGCGGACGGGUGAGUAACGCGUGGGAACGUGCCCUUUUCUACGGAAUAGCCUCGGGAAACUGAGAGUAAUACCGUAUACGCCCUUUGGGGGAAAGAUUUAUCGGAAAAGGAUCGGCCCGCGUUGGAUUAGGUAGUUGGUGGGGUAAUGGCCUACCAAGCCGCCGAUCCAUAGCUGGUUUGAGAGGAUGGUCAGCCACACUGGGACUGGGACACGGCCCGGACUCCUACGGGAUGCAGCAGUGGGUGAUCUUAGACAAUGGGGGCAAUCCUGAUCUAGCCAUGCCGCGUGAGUGAUGAAGGCCUUAGGGUUGUAAAGCUCUUUCAGCUGGGAAGAUAAUGACGGUACCAGCAGAAGAAGCCCCGGCUAACUCCGUG
rnacentral:rRNA from 1 species